GCCAGGUGUGGUGGUGAGCACCUGUAGUCCCAGCUACUGGGGAGGCUGAGGCAGGAGGAUCGCUUGAGCCCAGGAAGUUGAGUCUGCAGUGAGCUAUGAUUGUGUCACUGCACUCCAGCCUGGGCAACAGAGCAAGACCCUGUCUCUA
rnacentral:SRP_RNA from 1 species